GUGAACGCUGGCGGCAGGCCUAAUACAUGCAAGUCGAACGGCAGCACAGUGGAGCUUGCUCCAUGGGUGGCGAGUGGCGGACGGGUGAGGAAUACAUGGGAAUCUGCCCAGUCGUGGGGGAUAACGUAGGGAAACUUACGCUAAUACCGCAUGCGCCCUUCGGGGGAAAGCCGGGGACCUUCGGGCCUGGCGCGAUUGGAUGAGCCCAUGUUCGAUUAGCUAGUUGGCGGGGUAAAGGCCCACCAAGGCGACGAUCGAUAGCUGGUCUGAGAGGAUGAUCAGCCACACUGGGACUGAGACACGGCCCAGACUCCUACGGGAGGUAGCAGUAGGGAAUAUUGGACAAUGAGCGCAAGCCUGAUCCAGCCAUGCCGCGUGAGUGAAGAAGGCCCUCGGGUUGUAAAGCUCUUUUGUCCGGGAAGAAAAGCAUCGGGCUAAUACCUCGGUGUUCUGACGGUACCGGAAGAAUAAGCACCGGCUAACUUCGUG
rnacentral:rRNA from 1 species